UACGGAGGGGGGCUAGCGUUGUUCGGAAUUACUGGGCGUAAAGCGCGCGUAGGCGGCUUUUGUAAGUUUAGAGGUGAAAAGCCCCGGGAGCUCAAACUCCGGAAUUUGCCCUUUAAGACUGCAUCGCUAGAAUCAUGGAGAGGUGAGUGGAAAUUUCCCGAGUGUAGAGGGUGAAAUUCGUAGAUAUUCGGAAGAACACCAGUGGCGAAGGCGGCUCACUGGACCGUUGUUGACGCUGAGGUGCGAAAGCGUGGGGAGCAAACAGG
rnacentral:rRNA from 1 species